rnacentral:rRNA from 1 species
UGAGCCUACGGGGGGCAGCAGUGGGGGAUAUUGCACAAUGGGGGAAACCCUGAUGCAGCGACGCCGCGUGAGCGAAGAAGAAUUUCGGUAUGUAAAGCUCUAUCAGCAGGGAAGAAAAAAAUGACGGUACCUGAGUAAGAAGCACCGGCUAAAUACGUGCCAGCAGCCGCGGUAAUACGUAUGGUGCAAGCGUUAUCCGGAUCUACUGGGUGUAAAGGGAGCGUAGGCGGCGCGUUAAGUCUGAUGUGAAAACCCGAGGCUCAACCACGGGAGUACAUUGGAAACUGGCGGGCUGGAGUGCCGGG